CACCUUUUACCCCCUUGGUGGAGAGUAAACAUUUUUGCUCUCUUUAUGAGAGUAUACCUCCUUUUAUUUUGCUUUUACAUUAACAAAACAGAGCACUAUUUUCUAUUUUUAUUCUCAUUUUAUAUAAUUGGUGAAUAUCUGUCAUGCUGCAAAUUAAGAGGGAAAUACCUGUGAACGCGCGACACAAACUGGCGCUUGACCCUGACCUACUAUCGAGAAGGAACCAAGUUGAGCGACAUAUCCACAGGCGGGGAUCAUACUGCCGAGGUGCAUAUAUCUGGAGCUGAACAUAAGCUUCAGAAUAUUGUAAGUGGCAUUUCUCUUAUU